GGCAACUUAGCUCAGUGCUAGAGUGUUUGCCUAUCAAGCAUAAGACUUGGGGUUGAAUCCCUAUACCU
rnacentral:tRNA from 1 species